rnacentral:rRNA from 1 species
CCUACGGGGAGCUGCAGUGGGGAAUAUUGGACAAUGGGCGAAAGCCUGAUCCAGCCAUGCCGCGUGUGUGAAGAAGGCCUUCGGGUUGUAAAGCACUUUCAGUGGGGAAGAAAGCCUUGGGGCUAAUACCCUCGAGGAAGGACAUCACCCACAGAAGAAGCACCGGCUAACUCCGUGCCAGCAGCCGCGGUAAUACGGAGGGUGCGAGCGUUAAUCGGAAUUACUGGGCGUAAAGCGCGCGUAGGCGGUCUGAUAAGCCGGUUGUGAAAGCCCCGGGCUCAACCUGGGAACGGCAUCCGGAACUGUCAGGCUAGAGUGCAGGAGAGGAAGGUAGAAUUCCCGGUGUAGCGGUGAAAUGCGUAGAGAUCGGGAGGAAUACCAGUGGCGAAGGCGGCCUUCUGGACUGACACUGACGCUGAGGUGCGAAAGCGUGGGUAGCAAACAGGAUUAGAUACCCUAGUAGUC